GCCAUGACUGUGAGGCCUUCCCAGCCAUGCGGAACUAAAAUAUUACUGAAUGAGCCUCAUCGUGUGCCAAGUUCUGUUCCAGUCAUUGGGAAUACAGCCAGUGAAUAAAACACCUACCAUCAUGGAACUUACAUUCUACUUGGGGGAAACUGACAAUAUGAAAAUGGAAAAUGAAAUACACAAUAUUAGUGGAUUUCUGGACUGGGUGAAUCUUAUCUGCAUUUGGCAAUCACGAUUCUGAGACUGUGGAUGGCUAACGUCAAGGAAGCUGCCUUCUUUAGAGAAUAUCCCCUCUGUUUAUUUCUGUCUGGCAGGAUACAGUCUCUCUUUACUGCCACUAUUCCUGUAUAUACCUUCUAGUUCCAUUUUUUGCUGACCCUUGAGAACUGGCUCUUAACCUCUACUCCAUGCCAACAGAAUGAUUAGGAAACCAUCGAGAACUGUCCUUCACUUUGUGACAGCUGGAGACUCUAAGUACAAAAUAGCAGGUCAUUCUGACUAUGACCAAUUGGACAGAUAACCAUGCUGCUUUCUUUUUCACAGGAAAUUGUGUAACUCUGGAAUUUUAGAGGUGAGUGUGGUCACGUACAGACUUUGCUAAUGAGUACACUGACUUGCCCUAGCACAGUGUGAGCAUUGCUGAUACUAUUCUCCCCUAUCGGUCAGGUCAUGACUAUUUUGGAAAUGAUCUGUCAGAUGGGUCUUCAGUCAUGUCACCAUCCCCCUUUGGCUGCACAUUAAUGGGGUCAUGGCCCUAGUCGUCAGCUCCUGGGAUGUAAAAUGGUCCCAGGCAAGGGAAGAGAGAAAGCCCAGACUCUAACAUACAGAAAGCCUUAACAUACAGUAGUAUUAUGGGAAAGAGACUUUAAAAAAACAGCAUAAGAAUGUAGCUGAAUCCUUCAUUCUUGUUCUCUCACUACCUUGACUGUUAUAGAAAUCAAAGCAUGUGAUUUAUCAAAAAUGAAAUAGAACCACAAUAAUAUAAUUUUUAAAAAGAUUGAAGAACAACCCUUUUUAAAGGAAUAACUUCAUUCACUACUUUGACUACACAGAAAUUUGAUGCAUGACUUUCUUGAAACGCUCUCCUCUCAUAACACCCCUGGCCCAUUUUCUCUUGCUUUGACCCCAUGUGAGGGUUCUAUACACUGCAUAGCUCUUAACACUGAUUUGUGUCCGGGUCUUAAUUUACAAAAGGUGACUGAGUGACAAUUCUGAGAGGCCAAUGCCAUUGAGAGAAAAGCUUACUGCUAGUCAUGGCUCCCCUGGAAGCAGAAGACACAGCACACUAUAGAGGGCCAUGUGGGAAAGCACCGGAGUAGCUCCAGGCCGGGCUUCCCAGUCUGUCUGCACUCUAGAAGGAGUUUGCCUGGGUUGGGGUUGUCACAUGGUAGAUUCCAAACCUUCGUUUUGUCAGUUUACUUAAAGGUGACUGGGUUUAAAGGUGCUGAUUGAUUGUGAAUAGCUUGGAGAGUAAAUCAUUAUUCAUUAAUAAAGUUAAAUAGUUCAUGUAAAAUUAAAGUAUAAUAAAGCAUAAUAGCCAUAAUUUAUAUCAUUUAUAUUAUUGUUUUUUUUUCAAUUUGGAGGCAUUCCGUCCUUGUUUAUAGAUUCACUCAGAAAAUUGUAUUAUGGAACACAGUUUCCUUCCCAAGUAUAGAGUUUGAGCAAAAGGAGGCUACAGAAUUCUUUUCCAGUCUCCUCUGCAGUUAGGAGUAGCCAGCUAAUAAUGGUUUUGACCAAUAAGACAAAGGCAGAAAUUGGCUGGUGUCUCCUCAGAUGUGACUGAUGCUCCCCCUUUUUCCAUCUUCUCUGCCUUCAAUGUGGAUGUAAUAUCUGGAGCUGCAGCAACCAUUUUGCAACCGUGAGGCAACAAUUAUGAGGAAAAGGCCAAGGGAAUUAAAGACACUGGCCCUCAUAUCAUCAAAUUGCUAAACCAGGCUGGGUGCAGUGGCUCAUGCCUGUAAUCCCAGCACUUUGGGAGGCCGAGGC